CUAGAGAAUAAAAUGGAAUUCAAACAACCUAUCAUAGUCUACAGAAUGAAGGAUGAGAGCUUGAGUUUAACUUAAACUUUUAUUGAUAGAGCUUAAAGGCAAACAAGACCAUUAUAAUCAUUUUGAGUGACCUCCUGUACACUACACCACCACUAAAUUUUACCCAGUUACCCAUGAAACAAGCCCAAUAACUUCUGUACAGCUAAAGGAUGUUUUCCAGAGCAGCACUGAAUCUUGAUUUGAAACACAGCACCUAAAAACACUUCCCUUGGGAGCUUGUACCAGAGAUUACAAAGUUAAAACUGUGUCCCAUUACUACAUUAGUUUGUCCAACAUCAGCUUACAGCCACUGAUUUGCCAUGUCCUUCUACACUGGGCUGAAGAGCCUGUUAAUACCCAGUAUUUUCUCUCCUUGAAGGCACUUAAAUUUUGCAAUCAAAUCAUCUUAGAGUAAUCUUUCUGAUACCUGCAUAGAUUUAACUGUUCUUGUAUUUCUCAUUGCUAAGAAUCUUCUAGGAUGACUUUGGAGCCUGUUUUCUACACUGGCCUUAAUUUUUUAUCAUCGUUAAGAUAGUUACCAGAAUUAAGCAAAGUGCUUCGACAGACAUUUUGCCAAUGCCCUGCAGAAAUAAAUUUCUGUCUUUUUUCCUCUGGUUUUUAGUACCUCUUUUCAACAGCUACAGAUCUCAGCAGGCCUUUUGGGUGCUGUCUUGCACUGAAGGCUUGAGAUUCUUGUCUUAUGAAACAUCUAAACCCUUUCUUACUUUUUGAAGAUACGGUUCACUAUUUCAGAGUGAUCAUUGACAUUCACUGCUUCUAAAUUGUUUUUCCUUUCUUGGCUUCUUCAAAAUUCUGAUCAUUGUAAUGUGACCAGCUUGUCUGUGAUCUAGAUUUGCAAUAACUCAAUAACUGCUAUUCAUCCUCUUUUUUUUUCUUUUUCUUUUUUCUUUUUUUUUUUUGGUUUUUUUUUUUUUUGGAGCAAUUAUCAAGGCUGUACAAGUGAGUGCAUUUAUUUCUGCUUAGAAAUCCUAUGUUAACAAUUGCAUCACAUUAAGCACAUAAGUGCCUGUUAAAAACAACUACCACCAUCCUGCAGUCAUUGGCGCAUCCAUUACAGUUUUCAGCUGUGUUAAUACCACAGUGUGGAACAUUACCAUAGAGCACAACAUUUCUGUGAGGCAGCAGAUGGGAGCUCAGUGCUGCAUAUUUUCUGUUCUCAAGUGAAUUUUUGAGAUCUGUCUGUUCUCUCUAGGGCAACCCACAAAUGGCCUGUAUAAAUGCAAAGCCUGU
rnacentral:lncRNA from 1 species